GUACUGGGAUUAUAGGCGUGAGCCACCAUGCCUGGCCUUCAGUGAGUGCUUUGACAGAAUUUUACCUGAAUGUCAAGAGCUAAAAAACAAAAAACAAAACAAACAAAAAUACUUUUCUCAGUUUUUGCCAAUUGGGCCUGUACUGGGGCCCUCCUUCAACACUUAGCCAGGCUUUCACUGAGCUUAGCAAUCAGCUAUGAUGAAACCUGAAGUUUUUAUCACAUCUUUUCUGAGCAAGCAUCUUGCCCUGGGCACAUGCAUGGCUGUCUAAAUUCCCUGCAUACACAGGUGCUUCUGAUUGUCCUAACUUCCCAAAGAAACUCUGUCCUCAAAUUUUUUGCCCAAGCCUUAGGUGGUUUAUUGCAUGUCUCAACUGUGACCUUUUGCCUCAGGCCUUGUUCUUCUACCUUACGAUGAUUCAAGCAAUGCCUGCUGCUUUUCCAAUCUGGGUUAGUUCAGAGUUAGGCAAACAGAGGUGAGCAUUUUUUGCCAGUCCUUCACGUACAGACAGGUUAAAACCGAUCUACACAAUAAUUUGCAAAUAAGGUCUGCUUUGCUCCCUCUAGAACCAGGGACCACACUCCCAUGCUGACAGUAUGGGCUGCUGUCUUCAGGACCAUUGCAAGAUGUCAGAGCUGCAGCAUGGUCUGGAGGCUUUCCUCGCUUUCUUCUGCUUCCCCUCCCUUGAUCCUUCACAGGCAUUUUCCUCAAUACAUCUCUUGCCUGGCUAAUCCUGUCUGAUGAGUUUCCAGAUGGACCUGAAUUAAAAUCUUGUUCUGUUGCCCAGGCUGGAGUGCAGUAGCACAAUCAUGGCUCACUGUGGCCUCUACCUUCUGGCUUCAAGUAAUCCUCCUGCCUCAGCCUCCUCAGUAGCUAGACUACAGGUGCAUGCCACCAUGCCCAGCUAAUCUGUAAAUUUCUUAUAGAGACCAGGGUCUCCCUAUGUUGCCCAGGCUGGUCUUGAAUUCCUGGCCUCAAGCAUUCCUCCCACCUUAGCCUCCAAAAGUGCUGGAGUUACAGGCGUGAGCCACCGCCCAGCCUAUGCAAAUAAUUUUUAAACAAUAAAUAUUAAAUGGCUUUGUUUCUUUUGGAGACAGGGUCUCACUCUAUCACCCAGGCUGGAGUGCAGUGGUGGGAUCAUGCCUCACGGCAGCUUCAACCUCCCAGGCUCAAGCGAUCUUCCCACCUCAGCCUACUGAGUAGCUGGGACUACAGGCACAAGCCACCACACCCGGCUAAUUUUUGUAUUUUUUGCAGAGAUGGAGUUUUGUCAUGUUGCUCAGGCUGGUCUCAGACUCCUGAGCUCAAGUGAUCCACCCGCCUUGACCUCCCAAAGUGCUGGGAUUACAGGCAUGAGCCACUGCAUCCAGCCUAAACUGUAUAUUAAAACAACUGCUUUAGAACACAGUCACAGAAAUGGGAUCGAGUCAAAUGGACUGUAUAAUUUUAGAUUAAUUCAUAGAUUAGUAUUGGCAAGUUACUUUCUAUUCAGUUUCCACAAAUCUACAUUGCCC
rnacentral:sRNA from 1 species